CGCUCUCAUUUCUCCCCCUCUUCAAUCUCUCUCCUCUCUCAUGCUCAUGCUCUCCGCCUCAAUUAGAAACCCUCUGUCGCCCUCUGCCCAUCUCAACUGCUCACUGGGGACUCUCCACCUCUCUCUGCCCCCACUCACCGGAUGCUCGGACCCUAAACAUUUUCUUAAGGCUGUCCCUUCGAGCGGACUUCAUUUCCCCCCCAAGCUCUUUCUUUGUUCUGUCUCCCGUGGCAGUUGGCAGCCAGUUGUGGUAGCCACUUAAAACCCUAUAUUUUUCAUUCUCUCCCUCACACACUGACCCUUCCCUUCUUCAGUCCUCCACUUUCCUCUGCCCUCACUCCUCUGGUGCACCAAUGACUAGAGAGCCAUUGAAGCCAUCCAAUGUUUGGGAAGUGAUGAUUGGAAGACCAGCCACAAACCUCAGUGGUCAAAAGAUGGAAGCAACUAAUGGCAGCUAAAAGUUUAUCAUGACACCAAUUAUUUCUAAAGAUGGCCAGCCUUUGAACCAGAUGAUGGUACAACAACAAGAACUAACAGAGACCCUUCGCCGAACAUAGAGAGUAGUCAUAACCCCUUGGUUCAAGAUUUCUCACAUGGUCCUUCAAGUACGAUUGCCAAUAGAUUUGACCCAUAUAGAUGCUCACAUUUUAUGAGAGUGCUGGCCUCUUCCACUUAAUUUUGGCAUCUUUUUGUUGUUUAUGUGGAAGAUGAAGCUCAAUUCUAGUGUGAAAUUUUGUUUUUCCUUAACUUUUUUGGUAAAAUUUGGCUAUGGAAAAUGUUGUACAGCUUUCCAAUAUGGUGCAGUUCUUUCUUAAGAUACAAUAGAAGUCCGGACUAUUACUUAAUGGAUCUGAUUUUAGCUUGUAAUGAUGAGGCUAAUUCAAAGCUCAUGACGGUUUUGAUGUGUA